rnacentral:rRNA from 1 species
UACGUAGGGGGCAAGCGUUGUCCGGAUUUAUUGGGCGUAAAGAGCGCGUAGGCGGCCAAGCAGGUCCGCUGUGAAAACUCGAGGCUCAACCUCGAGAGGUCGGUGGAAACCGUUUGGCUAGAGUCCGGAAGAGGAGAGUGGAAUUCCCGGUGUAGCGGUGAAAUGCGUAGAUAUCUGGAGGAACACCGGUGGCGAAGGCGGCAUCCUGGACCGACACUGACACUGAGGAGCGAAAGCCAGGGGAGCAAACGGG